UACGGGGGGAGCAAGCGUUGUUCGGAUUUACUGGGCGUAAAGGGCGCGUAGGCGGCGUAACAAGUCACUUGUGAAAUCUCCGGGCUUAACUCGGAGCGGUCAAGUGAUACUGUUGUGCUAGAGUGCGGAAGGGGCUACUGGAAUUCUCGGUGUAGCGGUGAAAUGCGUAGAUAUCGAGAGGAACACCUGCGGCGAAGGCGGGUAGCUGGGCCGACACUGACGCUGAAGCGUGAAAGCUAGGGGAGCGAACGGG
rnacentral:rRNA from 1 species